ACGACCACGAUACCUGUAGCUUUAUCUGAAAUAAUCUUUCGAAGAGCUUUCAAUAAAACCGAAAAAGGUGUGAAAGCGUAAAAGAACAUGCCUGUCCAGGCUACAGUAAACGAGUCUCUGAUAACACGAUAGCGAUACGCAUAGUCAUCAGGGUCUUUGUGCCAAGAAAUAUAUUUUGCGCAUUUCUUCUUUAUACGACCUGCAAAUAAAUCGAUUAAAGGUAAACCAAAUUGCAUAUUAUCUCAUUAAAAACCCAAUUGGCUAAUUCCCAUUCUAUAUCCGGAUGUGAUCUCCUUGAUUUGUAAUCAGCUAUAAUAUUAUCGCGGGAUAUUAUAUAUGAUGCAAACACAAACAACCAUUGCCGCAGACCUCUCUUAACCUGGGUAAGAUGAGGGUAUUGUAUACCGCCCAUUCGGUUAAUGUAGGCAAUCGCGGUAAUAUCUAAUAGUAGUUGGAGUAUCUGGCAAUUGUACAAAUUACAUGAGUAAAUUUGAAGAGCAAUAAAUGCGGCAGGCAGCUCUAAAUAGUUGAUAUGAUACUAGACCAUUGGCCGCUUGCCGUACCACCCCCGCAGGCUCCUCCCCACCCCAUAGUUGAGGCGUCAGAAAAUAUUUGAAUUCGGAAAUUAUUGGUGAUGGGAAUUAUCGAUAUUCAUUAACCACCAAUGUAUGUCAGGUAGGAUGGACUCUGCUAUACUCAUUGUAUGAUUAUAAUUAUCGGGGCCUUGUAAGUUAAGGAACUUGCAGCUUUCCAGUUCCUUCAUAUAGAGCCAUCCGUACCCGAUAGCCGGGCACGGUGAGUAGGCCGGUGAGUUUUGCUAGUUGUCUAAUUUUGCAAUGCUUCAUUUUUAAACACUGUUCUACUCGUAACUCAGAUUUUAAGCAUGUUUUUGUAAGGUAAGCUAAGUCGCAACUGACGCGAGUUAAUAAUCAUUCCUAUAAGAAUUUGCACGACGUCAUAGGUGUAGGUAAGUGUGUACUACUUUUCUCUUGGUUGAAGAUAAAGCCUAAUGAAAUUAAUAACUGUAUUGUUGGUUUUAUGUUUUCUAUACAUUGUUCGUAACUUUGCCCGAAAAGGAGCCAUUCAUCGAGAUACAGAGUAGAGAGGAGGCCUGCGUAGUUUUAUUUUACAAUAGGUUCAUGUGAUUUUGGUGAAAUCAUAUAAGGCGCGGCCUCAGUCUUACGAGGCCGGUGUCGCGAACGUAUUGCGAACCAGCUAAUAUUUGCCAACGUCAUGGAGUAGAUGGCGCUAGUAGUCACGUUUAAGUUAAGAAACCGCUUCUAGGUUAUUGGGAUUUUUUGACGGAAGUUGAGAGGGUAGAUGAGAACGACAGUAGGAAAAAGGAGGUUGUGUGCGAACAAAUCUACGCGGGAGUGAUAUUUGCUUUUAGAUCAAGUCAUGAACGUUCUUAUGGUGUUAUUAGAAUAAUGAUGUGUCUCUGGUAUAUUGUGACCAACGUUAUCAGUACUCAGAGUGAACAGUGAUCCAGUGAGGCUAAUAUGAACUUAAGGUAAACUUUGUGUGAGAAAUGGGGUCGCUAUAAGGGGAGGUUUUGGAGGCUACUAUUAAGCUCAAGAAACCAGGUGGAUAAUCAUGUGAUACUCAUGUUAUAUGUAGGUAAUAAAGUCGGACACCAGCACAACUCAUAUCGUCAUCUCACUAACAUCCAGGCCUCGUAUAGGUAUGUAGUACAUUUACAUAUCGCUUUCCAGUAUCCGUAAAGCAUUAGCUCAUUCGAUAGGUUAAUAAGUAUGGUGAGCUUGACGACAUGGUGGAGCAUGCUGGGAAUUUUUAUUCACAUGCACUGUUAUCAUCAUCAAAAGUAACAUAUGUUUAUCUCUAACAUAUGAAAAGUCAAUUUAUUUACGCGCGUACAACUAAAGAGCUACAAUUUUUGGUUUAUUUCAUUCAAUUUAAUGUUUUAUUUCAACCAUGAAGCCCAUAUUUAUGUUAUUUCUACCAAAAAGGUAUUCAGCAGGCGAAUGUUAGUGGUUCACCUGAGCACAUAGGCAAUUGAGUGAGUACCUACAUACAUUUUAACUGAACAUUCUUGCUCUUUGAUAUACAAGAGAUUGCAAGUGUCAGUAGGUAUCAUAAUAUAGUUUAUAAAAAGCAGAUAUAUAAAUAUAUGGGACAUGCGCUCGCAUCGACGGCCGGACGCAACUGAGGCGCGCGCAGGCGGCGCGCACGUAUUUAUGCAGCGGUUGGAGCGAGAUGGAAGACAGGGCGUGCUACUCUCGCAAGCGACAUUCUCUGCGGUAGUCCUGAAUUGCUGUAUUUUCUACUACCCACUUCAUGCAACCGGCGAUUGUGAGCGGGAUAGAAGAUAUGCCAUCGCACUCUAGAGAGGUGCGAUUUACGUCAAAGGGUAGAUUAGAUUCUGUAGUUCUAAGAUACCUAUCUUUCUAUUUUUUCGUAGGUUUAGGAAUAGUAUAUAAGACGACGAUACAUUUCAAUAAAUGUUCAUUAUUUAACUGACUA